CUAUAAAUAGCCCCGGCCGUGGCGGAGCCGCGCGGCGGGAGCCGGAGCGGCCGGGCAGAGAUUGCUUCCAGGGGGGACAACGCCUCAGAACCAGGAGGGUUCGGUGUGGGUACCCCUCGGCCCCAGGAGGUGCAAAAAAUAUGGGGGGGACAGAUGUCCCAAAGUGAGACUGUGCCUUUCUGGAAGGAAACGAGGCAUCCUGAAACGGAACCCUAGACGCAGCUCUGGCCCAUGCGCAGUGGUGAGAGCACUGGGCAUGGAAGGAAGAGGUCACGAUGGCAAAUGAUCUCCAGGCGGUGCCACAUGUGACAAGAUGCCCGUGGCACAAAGAAGGACUCCUUCUCCUCUUGAUGAACUGAGGAUUGACUAUUCUAAAGGGCGGUGCCAGACCAAGAGUUGGUGAUUUGGGAGAUGUAUUGUAUUGGAAAUUUGGUGGGGGGAUGAGGAAAACGCUUUUGUAAGGUUUGCAUUUUCCUUGUGUAUUUUUUUUCCUUUCCUUGUGGUUUAGUUAUUUUCUUGUAGUUUAGUUAAUAAAGUUUUCUUUAUUUCUAA